rnacentral:rRNA from 1 species
UACGUAGGGUGCGAGCGUUAAUCGGAAUUACUGGGCGUAAAGCGUGCGCAGGCGGUUUUGUAAGCCAGAUGUGAAAUCCCCGGGCUUAACCUGGGAAUGGCAUUUUGGGACUGCAAGGCUGGAGUUUGGCAGAGGAGACUGGAAUUCCCGGUGUAGCAGUGAAAUGCGUAGAUAUCGGGAGGAAUACCGAUGGCGAAGGCAGGUCUCUGGGCUAUAACUGACGCUCAUGCACGAAAGCGUGGGGAGCAAACAGG